GAAAACAUAUAUAUUUAUUAUGUACUGAUAAUACAUAACAAAGGUGAACCCUCCCCUAAUGAAACUGUAUUCACAAGUGAACACACAGAGAUUUGCACACACAUACACAAAGACUGGUUGUGCAGCUUUUCUCCUCCUGAGCCAGGACUUGUCAAAGACAAGCAAAAGGAAGUUGUUAGAGUAAAAAAUAAGAGAAAGCUAGUAUUUUUAAAAACUCCUUACUGUGGAAAAUGUCAAACAGAAGAGCAGAAUGAAUUUCCAGAACUUCAUAAAUUGUCAACACUUUUCAGUCUUGUUUCAUCUAUCCCCUACCACCAUCUUCCAGACCUUAUUUUCUUUGCUAGAAUAUUUUAAAGCAAUGGGUAUUACAUUUAAAGUUUGACUUGUUUAACCUGGACUACUUUUAGGUAAGGAAAAUUCAGUAUUUCUUAGAAAACCCUUUCCCCAACCAAAAAACAAAGAACAAGAAAAAAAUUGAUAGGCUUGGCUCUAUGAACCUGGAGUAUCAAAGAAAAAGGGGUUUAGUUUUGUUUUUUGGGCUAAAAUACAGUCCGACGGAGAGUAUUGUCAUUUUUAUACAAAAACAGGGACAAAAGAAAAGGCAACAGUGCAAAUACUCCAUCUUCCAGGAAGGGAGGCUGGGAUGCCUCAGUGUUAAAAUGACAAAAGAAAACCCCAGAGCAAGAACCAUGAUCCCUCAGAGGAGUCCCAGAAAUGUCCAAGACAGCCUGGCUGGGAGAGGGGGUGUGGGAAGGGCAGG
rnacentral:lncRNA from 10 species